rnacentral:tRNA from 1 species
GAAAUAUAAUAAAUUAAGCUUCUAACUUAAUUACCAGCUAUAAGUUGAUAUUUCU